ACGCUCGACACCUACGGGAGGCGGCAGUUGGGAAUAUCGGACAAUGGAGGAAACUCUGAUCCAGUGACGCCGCGUGAAGGAAGAAGGUCUUCGGAUUGUGGACUUAUUUUGUCAGGGAAGAAAAAUGACUGUACCUGAAGAAAAAGCACCGGCUAACUACGUGCCAACAGCCGCGGUAAUCUGAGCGGGCUGGCAAGGC
rnacentral:rRNA from 1 species